rfam:Fukomys damarensis contig82643, whole genome shotgun sequence.
GCCGGGCGUAGUGGCGCACGCCUGUAAUCCCAGCACUCGGGAGGCUGAGGCAGGAGAAUCGCUGUGAGUUGAGACUAACCUGGGCUACACAGUGAGUUCCAGGGCAGUCUCAACUACAUAGUGAGACCCUGUCUCAA